UACGGAGGGUGCAAGUGUUAUUCGGAUUUACUGGGCGUAAAGAGCACGUAGGCGGAUAGAUAAGUCAGAUGUGAAAGCCCGGAGCUUAACUCCGGAACUGCAUUUGAUACUACCUGUCUUGAGUAUGGUAGAGGGGGGUGGAAUUCCCGGUGUAGAGGUGAAAUUCGUAGAUAUCGGGAGGAACACCAGAGGCGAAGGCGACCCCCUGGGCCAUAACUGACGCUGAGGUGCGAAAGCGUGGGGAG
rnacentral:rRNA from 1 species